GACGAACGCUGGCGGCGUGCCUAAUACAUGCAAGUAGAACGCUGAAGGAGGAGCUUGCUUCUCUGGAUGAGUUGCGAACGGGUGAGUAACGCGUAGGUAACCUGCCUGGUAGCGGGGGAUAACUAUUGGAAACGAUAGCUAAUACCGCAUAAUAGUAGAUGUUGCAUGACAUUUGCUUAAAAGGUGCAAUUGCAUCACUACCAGAUGGACCUGCGUUGUAUUAGCUAGUUGGUGGGGUAACGGCUCACCAAGGCGACGAUACAUAGCCGACCUGAGAGGGUGAUCGGCAACACUGGGACUGAGACACGGCCCAGACUCCUACGGGAGGCAGCAGUAGGGAAUCUUCGGCAAUAGACGGAAGUCUGACCGAGCAACGCCGCGUGAGUGAAGAAGGUUUUCGGAUCGUAAAGCUCUGUUGUAAGAGAAGAACGAGUGUGAGAGUGGAAAGUUCACACUGUGACGGUAUCUUACCAGAAAGGGACGGCUAACUACGUG
rnacentral:rRNA from 1 species